rnacentral:rRNA from 1 species
UACUCGAGUGGCGAACGGGUGAGUAACACGUGGGUGAUCUGCCCUGCACUUCGGGAUAAGCUUGGGAAACUGGGUCUAAUACCGGAUAGGAACCAUCUUUAGUGUGGUGGUUGGAAAGUUUUUUCGGUGUAGGAUGAGCUCGCGGCCUAUCAGCUUGUUGGUGGGGUAAUGGCCUACCAAGGCGACGACGGGUAGCCGGCCUGAGAGGGUGUACGGCCACAUUGGGACUGAGAUACGGCCCAG